rnacentral:pre_miRNA from 1 species
UUACUACUCCCUUCAUUCGGAAUUACUUGUCUCGGAAAUGGAUGUAUGUAGAACUAAAAUACGUCUAGAUACAUCCAUUUCCGCGACAAGUAAUUCCGAACGGAGGGAGUAAUUG